UAUGCCUCUCCUAACCCUACUUUAUUUUUCGGUCGAAAUCCUUCGUUUUCCUCUCAUUUUCCAUUCUAUUUUCCUCUCAUUAUCUUCCCAUUUUUCUCUGAUUAUCUCCCUUUUACCGAUCUCUUCUCCCUUCCUCUUCAAAUUCAUUUACAUCUCCUUUAUCUCCUUUUCGAAGGAUAUGUCCGUGUUGUUCGUGUUCCAUUUUUUGCCCUACUCUUCCCAAAACGGUAAUUAUCCUCUCUCUAUUUUGCGUUUCGUUGAUCGGUUGCCAUGGACGUGCAUGACCUCUAAAACGUUUCUCAUCCUCUCUCCAUAUUUCCAUACCCUUCGUCUGCCGAAGAAUCCUUGCUGCUCCCUACUCUUGCCGGUCCUAGAACGAGUUUACUGCACUUUUUUAUACUGAACAACCAUUUUGUCAUACAUGCUACACUAAAUAUAUCGGUGAAAGGAAGUCGAGUAGGGGCAUGGCGGAGCAUGACAGGGGUUCUCGGUCUACACCAAAGCAUGGCAAGUUCAUCGAGACUACCUAAGCACAAUUGGACUAAAGAGGAAGAGGUAGGCCUCGUCGAGUGCCUCGUGGAGUUAGUCAAUGCUGGUGGGUAGAGGUCUGACAACGGGAUGUUUCGCCUCGGGUACCUAAAUCAGCUGGUGAGAAUGAUGGCCUUCAAGAUCCCAAGGUCUAACGUCCAUGCUUCAAUGAUCGAUAGCCGAAUAAAAUUUUUAAAGAGAAUGUUCCAUGCACUUGCGGAGAUGCGUGGUCUUACCUGCAGUGGUUUUGGGUGGAAUGAUGAACAAAAGUGCAUCAUUGCAGAAAAAGAAGUCUUCGACGAUUGGAUGAAGAGUCAUCCGACGGCCAAGGAUCUCUUUAAUAAGUCGUUUCCCCACUAUGACGAACUGUCGUACGUGUUUGGCAAAGAUCGUGCGAUGGGAGAUCGGGCUGAGACUUUUACGGACUUUUGGGUCAAACGAUCCUGCUGGGUACGAGGCAUUUGUCGCUAACGUUGCGUCGGAUAUGGACUCCCAGCCAAUGUACAAUCAGUGAUUGAACAUGUCGCUUCAUGAAUGAAUGGGAACAAGAACCACUCGGGUAAAUGAAGGUAGGUAUGUUUCGAAUGGGUCUAAGCGAAAACGUGGAGGAUAGGCCGCAGACAGUGGGGAGGUAAUUUGCACUGCAAUUGAGUACGAAAAUGACAACUUAAUCGUAUUGUUGAAUGGCCUGUCCUACAAUGUCAAGACGCAAGCCAAACACGUUAAGAGGUUGUCCGACAAUUGGAGGACAUCUCUGAGUUGACAUUGAUGGAUAGGUGUCGCUUAAUGCAUAUACUUAUGCGUAACGUCGACGACAUGAAAGCUUUCCUUGACUUUCCCGACAAUAUGAAGUACCUGUGCUACAACAUCAUUCUUCAAGAAAACUGAUGACCAGUUUGUUUAUUGUAUUUGUAUUAGCGGCUUUUCUGAGUUUGACUAUAUGUUCUUCUUCUUACUUGUUUUGUCUUAUUAUCUCACGAACUUCUCUUUCUGUUCAAGCUUUAUAAUUUGUAUUUUCAUUUCGCUUUCCUAUGUAAUGGUAUCAUAUUGUUAUACUAUCAUAUUAAUGUACUGUUUUCGUUGAAGUUUUUUUUUACAA